CACGUAGGGUGCGAGCGUUGUCCGGAAUUAUUGGGCGUAAAGAGCUCGUAGGCGGUCUGUCGCGUCGGAUGUGAAAAUCCAGGGCUCAACCCUGGACCUGCAUUCGAUACGGGCAGACUAGAGUUCGGUAGGGGAGACUGGAAUUCCUGGUGUAGCGGUGAAAUGCGCAGAUAUCAGGAGGAACACCGAUGGCGAAGGCAGGUCUCUGGGCAUUAACUGACGCUGAGGAGCGAAAGCAUGGGGAGCGAACAGG
rnacentral:rRNA from 1 species